rnacentral:piRNA from 1 species
UGCUUGUUUCUUGGAGAAGCCUCUG